rnacentral:rRNA from 1 species
GUUAUAUGGUCAAGUGAAGAAGCGCAUACGGUGGAUGCCUUGGCAGUCAGAGGCGAUGAAAGACGUGGUAGCCUGCGAUAAGCUUUGGGGAGUCGGCAAACAGACUUUGAUCCAGAGAUCUCUGAAUGGGGGAACCCACUCAGCAUAAGCUGAGUAUCUUGUACUGAAUACAUAGGUGCAAGAGGCGAACCAGGGGAACUGAAACAUCUAAGUACCCUGAGGAAAAGAAAUCAACCGAGAUUCCCUUAGUAGUGGCGAGCGAACGGGGACCAGCCCUUAAGUUGAUUUGAGAUUAGUGGAACGCUCUGGAAAGUGCGGCCAUAGUGGGUGAUAGCCCCGUACACGAAAAUCUCUUAUCAAUGAAAUCGAGUAGGACGGAGCACGAGAAACUUUGUCUGAAUAUGGGGGGACCAUCCUCCAAGGCUAAAUACUACUGACUGACCGAUAGUGAACCAGUACCGUGAGGGAAAGGCGAAAAGAACCCCGGAGAGGGGAGUGAAAUAGAACCUGAAACCGUAUGCGUACAAGCAGUGGGAGCCUACUUUGUUAGGUGACUGCGUACCUUUUGUAUAAUGGGUCAGCGACUUAUAUUCAGUGGCGAGCUUAACCGAAUAGGGGAGGCGUAGCGAAAGCGAGUCUUAAUAGGGCGUUUAGUCGCUGGGUAUAGACCCGAAACCGGGCGAUCUAUCCAUGGGCAGGUUGAAGGUUAGGUAACACUGACUGGAGGACCGAACCGACUACCGUUGAAAAGUUAGCGGAUGACCUGUGGAUCGGAGUGAAAGGCUAAUCAAGCUCGGAGAUAGCUGGUUCUCCUCGAAAGCUAUUUAGGUAGCGCCUCAUGUAUCACUGUAGGGGGUAGAGCACUGUUUCGGCUAGGGGGUCAUCCCGACUUACCAAACCGAUGCAAACUCCGAAUACCUACAAGUGCCGAGCAUGGGAGACACACGGCGGGUGCUAACGUCCGUCGUGAAAAGGGAAACAACCCAGACCGUCAGCUAAGGUCCCAAAGUCAUGGUUAAGUGGGAAACGAUGUGGGAAGGCUUAGACAGCUAGGAGGUUGGCUUAGAAGCAGCCACCCUUUAAAGAAAGCGUAAUAGCUCACUAGUCGAGUCGGCCUGCGCGGAAGAUGUAACGGGGCUCAAACCAUGCACCGAAGCUACGGGUAUCA